rnacentral:tRNA from 1 species
AUCGACGACUCAGCUGCACCAUAAGCACCCACACGAAUUGCUUGAUUCAUUGAAGAAGACGAUUAGAAGCAGCUUUAAGCUCCAAGCUGAUAGCUCAACGCUAGCGGCUACAAGCUCGAAAUUGGGUCUGUAGCUCAGUUGGUUAGAGCGCACCCCUGAUAAGGGUGAGGUCGGCAGUUCGAAUCUGCCCAGACCCACCAAUUUUGUGUGGGAAACGCCUGUAGAAAUACGGGGCCAUAGCUCAGCUGGGAGAGCGCCUGCCUUGCACGCAGGAGGUCAGCGGUUCGAUCCCGCUUGGCUCCACCAUUUACUGCUUCUGUUUGAAAGCUUAGAAAUGAGCAUUCCACCCCGAGAGAUUGAAGGGUGCGUGAAUGUUGAUUUCUAGUCUUUGAUUAGAUCGUUCUUUAAAAUUUGGGUAUGUGAUAGAAAGAAAUAUAGACCGGGCACCUCUUUCACUGGGGGCGGUCCGGGCUAAGGUAAAGUUUGUGAAAUGCAAACUUUCCGCGAAUGUCGUCUUCACAGUAUAACCAGAUUGCUUGGGGUUAUAU